AGAAACCAACAGGGAUUGCCCCAGUAACGGCGAGUGAAGCGGCAACAGCUCAAAUUUGAAAUCUGGCGCAAGCCCGAGUUGUAAUUUGCAGAGGAUGCUUCAGGGCAGCGACCGGUCUAAGUUCCUUGGAACAGGACGUCGUAGAGGGUGAGAAUCCCGUAUGCGACCGGUUGGCUCCCGUCACGUAGCUCCUUCGACGAGUCGAGUUGUUUGGGAAUGCAGCUCUAAAUGGGAGGUAAAUUUCUUCUAAAGCUAAAUACCGGCCAGAGACCGAUAGCGCACAAGUAGAGUGAUCGAAAGAUGAAAAGCACUUUGGAAAGAGAGUUAAAAAGCACGUGAAAUUGUUGAAAGGGAAGCGCAUGCAACCAGACUUGUCGGCGGUGUUCCGCCGGUCUUCUGACCGGUCCACUCGCCGCCGGCAGGCCAGCAUCAUCUGGGCGCGCCGGACAAAGGCGCGGGGAAUGUAGCUCCUCGGGAGUGUUAUAGCCCCGCGCACAAUACGGCGCCGCUCGGGUGAGGUCCGCGCUUCGGCUAGGAUGCUGGCGUAAUGGUUGUCUGCGGCCCGUCUUGAAACACGGACCAAGGAGUCUAACAUCUAUGCGAGUGUUCGGGUGUCAAACCCCUACGCGGAAUGAAAGUGAACGGAGGUGGGAAGCGCAAGCUGCACCAUCAACCGAUCCUGAUGUCUUCGGAUGGAUUUGAGUAAGAGCAUAGCUGUUGGGACCCGAAAGAUGGUGAACUAUGCCUGAAUAGGGUGAAGCCAGAGGAAACUCUGGUGGAGGCUCGCAGCGGUUCUGACGUGCAAAUCGAUCGUCAAAUUUGGGUAUAGGGGCGAAAGACUAAUCGA
rnacentral:rRNA from 1 species